AACAACAAAAACAAAAACAAAACAAAAAAAUAAUAAUAAUAAUAAAAAAAAAAAAAAUGUGAACACUAAAAUGGAUAAAUACUAGAUAAAUGAUGAUAAACAGUAAUAAACAAAUCAUGGAUAAUAAUUGAAGGAAAAUUACCUAAGAGCUGGACUCGAAGGAAAAAAAAAAUGAUGGUGAUAAUGCGAAUAGAUGGUGACAGAGGCAAGAAAUGGUGAUGAUGAUGAAGGCACACAAGUGAUGGUGAAGGUGAUGAAGAUGGUGAUGAUCAUGAAUAGAUGGUGAAAGAGGAAAGAUGUUGAUGAAGAGGAAGGCACACAGAUGAUGAUGAAGAUGACGAAGAUGGUGAUGACAGAGGCAAGAAAAUGGUGAUGAUGAUGAUGAUGACGACGAAGGCACAAAUGGUGAUGAUGAAGGCGUGAAAAGGGAAUGAAGAUGAUGAAAGCACAAGCUCAUGAUGAUGAUGGUGAUGAUGAUGAUAAUGAAAGCACAAAACCAUGAUGAUGAUGAUAGUGAUAGAGUGAAGAGGAUGGCGAUGAUGGUGAAGAUGUAUAGUGAUAAUGAGGCCGAUGAUAGUGACAGAAAGUGAAGAAAGAAAAAUGAUGAAGAGUUUGCUUACGAAGAUCGGAAAUAGAUAGAUAAAGAGAGAUAAAUAGGAUGAUAAAUGAGA